rnacentral:rRNA from 1 species
UACGGAGGGUGCAAGCGUUGUUCGGAAUCACUGGGCGUAAAGCGCGUGUAGGCGGCCCCUUAAGUCUGGUGUGAAAGCCCGGGGCUUACCCCCGGAAGGGCACUGGAGACUGGGAGGCUAGAGUACCGGAGAGGAGGGUGGAAUUCCUGGUGUAGCGGUGAAAUGCGUAGAUAUCAGGAGGAACACCGGUGGCGAAGGCGGCCCUCUGGACGGCUACUGACGCUGAGGCACGAAGGCCAGGGGAGCAAACGGG